rnacentral:rRNA from 1 species
UACGUAGGGUGCAAGCGUUGCCCGGAUUUAUUGGGCGUAAAGGGCGCGUAGGCGGCUCUGCACGUUCGUUGUGAAAUCGCCCGGCUCAACUGGGCGGGGUCAGCGGAUACGGCAGAGCUUGAGCAAGCUAGGGGGCAAUGGAAUUCCCGGUGUAGUGGUGAAAUGCGCAGAUAUCAGGAGGAACACCGAUGGCGAAGGCAGGUCUCUGGGCAUUAACUGACGCUGAGGGGCGAAAGCAUGGGGAGCGAACAGG